CCAGUUGACCGGGUGGCCGCUCCGGUUCAGGGAUUUUUCCCUGAACGGGGGAGGAAAGUCCGGGCUCCACGGAAACACGGUGCCGGAUAACAUCCGGCGGGGGCGACCCCAGGGAAAGUGCCACAGAAAGCAGACUACCUCCUGCGGCUUUUUUGAAGCGGCAGGGGGAAAAGGUGAAAGGGUGCGGUAAGAGCGCACCGCGGUGCUGGCAACAGGACCGGCAUGGUAAACCCCACCGGGAGCAAGACCAAAUAGGGAUGACGCGGGGGCAACCCCGGCCUUGUUUUCGGGCCAGUCAUCCGGGUUGGUUGCACGAGGCGUCAGAGCAAUCUGCGUCCCAGAUGAAUGGUCACCACGUGGCGGGAGACCGCUGCCCUACAGAACCCGGCUUACAGGUCAACUGGCCUG
rnacentral:RNase_P_RNA from 1 species